GGUCACAUAGCUCAGUUGGUAGAGCAAGGGACUGAAAAUCCCUGUGUCCCUAGUUCAAUUCUAGGUGUGGCCACCA
rnacentral:tRNA from 1 species